rnacentral:rRNA from 1 species
GAUGAACGCUGGCGGCGUGCCUAAUACAUGCAAGUCGAGCGAACAGACGAGGAGCUUGCUCCUCUGACGUUAGCGGCGGACGGGUGAGUAACACGUGGAUAACCUACCUAUAAGACUGGGAUAACUUCGGGAAACCGGAGCUAAUACCGGAUAAUAUAUUGAACCGCAUGGUUCAAUAGUGAAAGACGGUUUUGCUGUCACUUAUAGAUGGAUCCGCGCCGCAUUAGCUAGUUGGUAAGGUAACGGCUUACCAAGGCGACUAUGCGUAGCCGACCUGAGAGGGUGAUCGGCCACACUGGAACUGAGACACGGUCCAGACUCCUACGGGAGGCAGCAGUAGGGAAUCUUCCGCAAUGGGCGAAAGCCUGACGGAGCAACGCCGCGUGAGUGAUGAAGGUCUUCGGAUCGUAAAACUCUGUUAUUAGGGAAGAACAAAUGUGUAAGUAACUAUGCACGUCUUGACGGUACCUAAUCAGAAAGCCACGGCUAACUACGUG